rnacentral:rRNA from 1 species
UACGUAGGGGGCUAGCGUUGUCCGGAAUCAUUGGGCGUAAAGCGCGUGUAGGCGGUUCGGUAAGUCCGCUGUGAAAGUCGGGGGCUCAACCCUCGAAUGCCGGUGGAUACUGUCGGACUAGAGUACGGAAGAGGCGAGUGGAAUUCCUGGUGUAGCGGUGAAAUGCGCAGAUAUCAGGAGGAACACCGAUGGCGAAGGCAGGUCUCUGGGCUGACACUGACGCUCAUGCACGAAAGCGUGGGGAGCAAACAGG